rnacentral:rRNA from 1 species
UACGUAGGGGCCGAGCGUUGUCCGGAGUUAUUGGGCGUAAAGCGCGUGUAGGCGGCUUUGCAAGUCGGGUGUGAAAGCCCUCAGCUUAACUGAGGAAGUGCGCCCGAAACUGCAUGGCUUGAGUACCGGAGAGGGUGGCGGAAUUCCCCAAGUAGAGGUGAAAUUCGUAGAUAUGGGGAGGAACACCAAUGGCGAAGGCAGCUCGCUGGGACGGUACUGACGCUGAGACGCGAAAGCGUGGGGAGCAAACAGG